rnacentral:rRNA from 1 species
CUACGGGGUGCUGCAGUGGGGAAUAUUGGACAAUGGGCGCAAGCCUGAUCCAGCAAUGCCGCGUGAGUGAAGACGGCCUUAGGGUUGUAAAACUCUUUCGCUAGGGAAGAUAAUGACUGUACCUAGUAAAGAAGUCCCGGCUAACUCCGUGCCAGCAGCCGCGGUAAUACGGAGGGGACUAGCGUUGUUCGGAAUUACUGGGCGUAAAGAGUUCGUAGGCGGACUGACAAGUUAGAGGUGAAAUCCCAGGGCUCAACCCUGGAACUGCCUUUAAAACUGUCAGUCUAGAGACCGGAAGAGGUUAGGGGAAUACCUAGUGUAGAGGUGAAACUCGUAGAUAUUAGGUGGAACACCAGUGGCGAAGGCGCCUACUGGUCCGGUACUGACGCUGAGGAACGAAAGCGUGGGGAGCAAACAGGAUUAGAUACCCUGGUAGUC